rnacentral:misc_RNA from 1 species
CCUGUCGCGUCGCCAGCCACAGACGGUGAGCUACAGCAGGUAGUCCUCCGGAAGCAGCUCUUGAAUCAGGAGUGAAAGAGGGUUAUACGUCGUGUUCCUUUAUCCGGUCACUGAACUCGCACACACCUGCUUGGGUGCCUUCUACGCAAUGCCACCCCCGCCACCACGCCCCCCAUCCUACCUCCAACCCGGCCUUCUCUCGGCGGGGUCCACGAUAACCAUGACAGGAGAAGCGACAACGUCCCUCAGCCCAACCGCCCGCGUGGGUCCUGCCAAGGCGUCCCUGCUGCCGCUGCUGGACGACGCCUUCGCGCAGCUCAAAGUGCCGUCCUUCAUCCACGUGAACCUGGACGCCGUGGCCCACAACGUCGAUGUUCUCAAGGGCCUUUCUUCAGCUCAUACAGAGAUUAUGGGUGUUGUGAAGGGCGGUGCUUACGGCUCGGGUCUCCUGCCGGUGGUGGAAGUCCUCCUGGAGAAGGGCGUGAAGGAAUUGUCGGUUGCCACAGUGGCCGAGGGGGUCUACUUGCGCAGGCAUGGGAUACAGGUCCCUAUUACUGUCCUAGGCAACCUACUGCCAUGUGAAGUGAGCGACGUGACGCAGCAUCAUCUCAUUCCGUCCCUCAGCUGGUCUCAAGCCCUGACCUCAGUACCCCGUGAGGCCUUAGUGUAUCCAGACGGCUCGAGACUCAAAGUGGCCAUCAACAUCGACACGGGAAUGUCUCGCUACGGCGUCCAACCCGAAGACCUUCCCGCGCUGGUGCAAGAGCUGGACGACCUCGAAGUCAGCAUCUACUCCCUGUACACGCACUUCCAGUCCGCCAUCACGGAGAGGGAGAAGAACCGCAAACAGCUCGAUCUCUUUCUCGAAGCUUCGGAACCUUUCACGUCCCGUGGUAUUAGUCGACAUGUGGCAGCUACAACAGGAUGUGUGCAAGACCUUGGGACUGACUUGGACUUCAUAAGACCCGGCGGGGCUAUCACAGGCUUAUGUUCAGGCAGCGACCGAGAAGGAACGGAGCAGUUCGCAAUGAAAGGCUUCCAACCUGCGUUCUCCGUGGUUGCUAGGCCUACCUUCUACAAGCUCCUGAAGGCGGGACGAGACAUCGGCUACGACGGAACAUACACCACUUCCGAAGACGAGUGGAUCGCCAACUUCACCACAGGAUGGUCAGAUGGUCUCAGUCGACGUCUUAGCAAUUUCGUCGGUGCGGUCAAGAGAGUUAACACAGGUGAACGGUGCCCCAUCGUGGGUCGAGUGUCCAUGGACUCCAUCACCGUCCGCCUCCCUGAAGAGCCAUCCCCCGGCGAGGUGUUCCAAGUCCUCACCGAUGACUUCGACGACGUGACUUCGGCGGUGGGCAUGGCGAGGAACCUCGGCGGCGCCACCUACGAGAUGCCCGGAAACUGGUCCACUCGGCUGCCUCGCCUCUACACUCGCAACGGGAAGAUCGUCAGGAUUUGCCCGAGCCUUGAGUACACGUGCUGAGGGAUUUCCGGGAGAAGGAGGCCUCUUCUGUAUAGCGGGGAUGGCGAUUGAUAGCGAUGGUUGUGAACCGAUGGCAGCAUGUUGGUGCUGCCCAGACCCCUCUACACGACCUCGAGUGUGUGUUUGUGUGCAUAUGUGCAUCUUUAGAGUAGUUCUGUCGCCACGCUCUCCACAGUGGCUCCGCCGAGACUCUGCUGUGACGCCGGCCUCUGUCACCUGCCGGCACACAACCUUCGCCGUCGGAAGUCGCCGAGAGACGGACUACAGCCUGUCAGUAGCUCAACCCG